GCCCGGGUGGCGAAAUCGGUAGACGCAGCGGACUUAAAAUCCGCAGGCUUGACCGCCGUGCCGGUUCGAGUCCGGCCCCGGGCACCA
rnacentral:tRNA from 1 species